AUAUCAUUAAGCGGAGGAAAAGAAACUAACAAGGAUGCCCUCAGUAACGGCGAGUGAAGCGGGCAAAGCUCAAACUGAAAAUCGAUGCUCCAUGCGGGGUUUCGAAUUGUAGUCUAUAGACGCGCUAUCAGCGGUGAACCGGGUAUAAAUCUUUUGAAACAAGGUGUCAUAGAGGGUGAGAACCCCGUCUUCGACUCGGAGCUCAUUGCGUACGAUGCGUGUCAAGACGAC
rnacentral:rRNA from 1 species